rnacentral:rRNA from 1 species
UACGUAGGGGGCAAGCGUUGUCCGGAUUUAUUGGGCGUAAAGAGCGUGUAGGCGGCCAGACAGGUCUGCUGUGAAAACUCGAGGCUCAACCUCGAGACGCCGGUGGAAACCGUUUGGCUAGAGUCCGGAAGAGGAGAGUGGAAUUCCUGGUGUAGCGGUGAAAUGCGCAGAUAUCGGGAAGAACACCCGUGGCGAAGGCGGUUCUCUGGGACGGUACUGACGCUGAGACGCGAAAGCGUGGGGAGCGAACAGG